GAUGAACGCUGGCGGCGCGCCUAACACAUGCAAGUCGAACGAUUAAAGCACCUUCGGGUGUGUAUAAAGUGGCGAACGGCUGAGUAACACGUGGGCAACCUGCCCCUUUCAUUGGGAUAGCCACGGGAAACCGUGGAUAAUACCGAAUACUUCGAGACUUCCGCAUGGAAGACUCGAGAAAGCUCCGGCGGAGAGGGAUGGGCCCGCGGCCUGUUAGCUUGUUGGUGGGGUAACGGCCUACCAAGGCAAUGAUGGGUAGCUGGGAUGGGAGACCGACCAGCCAGAUUGGGACUGAGACACGGCGCAGACUCCUACGGGAGGCAGCAGUGGGGAAUCUUGCACAAUGGGCGAACGCCUGAUGCAGCGACGCCGCGUGCGGGAUGAAGGCCUUCGGGUUGUAAACCGCUUUCAGCAGGGACGAGGCGAAAGUGACGGUACCUGCAGAAGAAGCCCCGGCUAACUACGUG
rnacentral:rRNA from 1 species